CAUUAAUUGUUUUAUUGUCUUCAUAUAAAAUAUAUCUAUGAAAAGACAUUUUACGAACUAUUACAAUUGGCACAUACGUAGGUCGCGGAAACACCAUAUAGAGAAAAUAAAAAUGCUAUAAAUAAGGAUUUAUUUCAUUAUUAUUCGGUGCCUCCAACAGUGCGUUUCUGCUACCAUCUAGUGUUAAAAUUACGAGUCUCGCAGCGGUUUUUCACCUCUUAAAUUCUAUUCCCAGCUUACAGUAUUUAAAAAAUAUUCUCAAAUGAAUAAAUUAAUUUUAAAAAAGACACACUCGGGACAAUAUUUAUUGGGGUCCGGACAGAAACGCCGCUCCGCCGAUGGGCGCUCGUGCGCGACAGGGAGGCGCGCGGCGUGAGGAGCGUUGCAGCAGCUGAUCACGUGACACGCGGGGGCUCUCGCGACCCGUCACAGAGGCGCAGGUAGGGCUCGGUGGCCGCUGCGGGCGCAGAUCUUUAAUGGACGUGCCGGACGCUCCGGAUGUUCGGCCUCGUGAUUAUCGACCGACCGUGUACUGAUCAUGUGUGCUGUAUGACGUGCGCGCGCCGUGCUGCACGGGCACCGAAGCGGCUGUGGUCGACGCCGGAGCGCGUUCCAUUGUCAGCUCGCGGCAGACGCGCUUUAGUCGUGUGUGCGAUGCUUUGCAGACACCGCAGGAGGUGAAUCCGCAGCUCAGCUCAGCGCAGCGCAGCGCAGCGCAGCCGUCCGCAGCCCCGCCUCUCACGGCGCCCGCAGUCCGCUCCUCCUCAGCUCAGCUUGCUCCCCAUGUCCGGCCGCCGGUGCUCUGGGACUUCGGGCUCGGGCGGUGGCGGUGGCGGUGGCGGGGGGGCCGUGUCCCCCGCGGCCGAGGCGCCGGGCUCCGGCGGAGAGCCGACCCGGGAGCUCUUCGAGGCCUGCCGGAACGGGGAUCUGGAGCGCGUGAAGAAGCUCGUGACGCCUGAGAACGUGAACAGCAGAGACACGGCGGGCAGGAAAUCGACGCCGCUGCACUUCGCGGCCGGGUUUGGUCGGAGGGACGUGGUGGAGUUCCUGCUGCGGAACGGAGCCAACGUGCACGCCCGUGACGAUGGUGGCCUCAUCUCCCUUCACAACGCCUGCUCCUUCGGCCACGCCGAGGUGGUCAGCCUGCUGCUGCACCGUGGGGCUGACGCCAACUCCAAGGACAACUGGAACUACACUCCUCUGCACGAGGCUGCCAUCAAGGGCAAGAUUGAUGUCUGCAUAGUGUUGCUGCAGCAUGGGGCAGAUCCCGGGGUGCGCAACACGGAUGGCAGGACACCCCUGGACCUGGCGGAACCCUCCACCAAGGCCGUCCUGACUGGUGAAUACAGAAAAGAUGACCUUCUUGAGAGUGCAAGGAGUGGGAAUGAAGAAAAAUUGAUGGCUCUUCUGACACCGUUGAAUGUAAACUGUCACGCCAGCGAUGGCAGGAAGUCCACUCCCCUGCAUCUGGCUGCAGGCUACAACCGUGUGAAGACCGUGCAGCUGCUCUUGCAGCACGGCGCUGACGUACAUGCCAAGGACAAGGGUGAUCUCGUGCCCCUUCACAAUGCAUGUUCCUAUGGACAUUAUGAAGUGACUGAAUUAUUGGUGAAGCAUGGUGCUUGUGUCAAUGCCAUGGACCUGUGGCAGUUCACCCCACUGCACGAGGCAGCCUCCAAGAACCGGGUGGAGGUGUGCUCACUGCUCCUCAGUUAUGGUGCUGAUCCCACCUUCCUGAACUGCCACAAUAAGAGCGCAAUCGAUCUGGCACCCACUGCCCAGCUCAAGGAGCGCCUAGCCUAUGAGUUCAAAGGUCACGCCCUGCUACAGGCUGCGCGGGAAGCAGAUAUUGCACGUGUCAAGAAGCACCUAACACUGGAAUCAAUUAACUUUAAGCAUCCGCAGACCCAUGAGACUGCACUCCACUGUGCUGCUGCUUCUCCAUACCCAAAGAGAAAACAAGUUUGCGAAUUACUGCUGAGGAAGGGGGCCAAUGUGAAUGAGAAAACUAGAGACUUCCUGACUCCUCUUCACCUGGCCUCUGAGAAAUCUCAUAACGAUGUCAUAGAGGUGCUGGUAAAGCAUGAGGCCAAAGUGAAUGCCUUGGACAAUCUAGGUCAGACAGCACUACACCGGGCAGCCCACUGCGGCCACCUGCAGACCUGCCGCUUGCUACUGAGCUCUGGCUGUGACCCCCUCAUCAUGUCAUUGCAGGGCUUCUCACCUUCUCAGAUGGGCAAUCAGAGUGUGCGGGAGGUGCUACAAGAAGGUGCGUUCAUUGGAAACGUUGAUGCAGACCGGCAAUUGCUGGAAGCUUCAAAAUCUGGAGAUUUGGAGAUUGUCAAGAAGCUGUGCACACUACACAAUGUGAACUGCAGGGAUGUGGAUGGGCGCCAGUCCACCCCUCUGCACUUUGCGGCAGGGUACAACCGUGUAGCAGUGGUUGAAUUCCUGCUGCAGCAUGGUGCUGAUGUCCACGCCAAGGACAAAGGUGGCCUCGUCCCCCUGCACAACGCCUGUUCUUAUGGCCACUAUGAGGUGGCCGAGCUGCUGGUCUUACACGGUGCUGUGGUGAAUGUAGCGGACUUGUGGAAGUUUACUCCAUUGCAUGAAGCUGCAGCCAAAGGGAAGUAUGAGAUCUGCAAGCUACUUCUUCAGCAUGGUGCUGACCCAACCAAGAAGAACCGUGAUGGAAACACACCGCUAGAUCUGGUGAAGGACAGCGACACUGACAUCCAGGACCUGCUUCGAGGUGAUGCUGCCCUUCUGGAUGCUGCUAAGAAGGGCUGCCUGGCGCGUGUCAAGAAGCUGUGCCGGCCCGAUAACGUCAACUGCAGGGAUACACAGGGCCGCCAUUCCACCCCACUGCACCUUGCUGCUGGUUACAACAACCUGGAGGUGGCCGAGUAUCUGCUGCAGCACAACGCGGAGGUCAAUUCACAGGACAAGGGUGGUCUGAUUCCCCUACACAAUGCUGCCUCUUAUGGGCAUGUGGAUGUGGCAGCUUUGCUCAUCAAGUACAACGCAUGCGUGAACGCCACAGAUAAGUGGGCGUUUACCCCCUUACACGAGGCGGCGCAGAAGGGCCGAACCCAGCUGUGUGCGCUGCUGCUGGCGCACGGGGCCGACCCCACCCUCCGCAACCAGGAAGGCCAGUCGCCGCUGGACCUUGUGACGGCAGAUGACGUGCGAGCAUUGCUGACAGCGGCCAUGCCCCCCUCCGCCCUCCCCUCCUGCUACAAGCCCCAGGUCAUCAGUGUGUCGGCCACCUCAGCAGGUGGCACCUCUGGCCUUUCUGCCAGCCCCCCUCCUGGUCCCACUAGCAAUGGCCUGGAUGGCCAGGGGGGCUUUCCAGACCUGCCUUCUCUUGUGGGACCUGCUGGAACUGAAGGAGCAGUAGGAAUGGACAAGAAAGAAGAGGUUCCAGGACUUGACUUGAGCAUUGGCCAGUUCCUCAAUAACCUUGGACUGGAGCAUCUUUUGGAAAUUUUUGAACGGGAACAGAUUACUCUGGAUGUCUUGGUGGAAAUGGGACACAAGGAGCUGAAAGAGAUUGGCAUAAAUGCGUACGGACACCGGCACAAGAUCAUCAAAGGAGUGGAGAGACUAAUUGCUGGUCCUCAAAGUCUGAACCCUUAUCUCUCUCUGAACACCACAAACAGUGGCACCAUUCUAAUAGACUUGGCGACUGACGACAAAGAGUUUCAGUCCGUUGAAGAAGAGAUGCAGAGCACCAUCAGGGAGCACAGGGAUGGCGGCCAUGCAGGGGGGGUCUUCAACAGAUACAACAUUGUAAAGAUUCAGAAAGUCUGCAAUAAGAAGCUAUGGGAGAGGUACACACACCGCAGAAAGGAGGUGUCGGAAGAGAACCACAAUCACUCCAAUGAGCGAAUGCUCUUUCAUGGUUCUCCAUUUGUGAAUGCAAUCAUCCACAAGGGCUUUGACGAGAGGCACGCAUAUAUAGGAGGCAUGUUUGGCGCAGGGAUUUACUUUGCAGAGAACUCCUCCAAGAGCAAUCAGUAUGUGUACGGCAUCGGUGGGGGCACCGGCUGCCCCCUGCACAAAGACCGAUCCUGCUACGUCUGUCAGAGACAUUUGCUGUUCUGCAGGGUGACUCUGGGUAAGUCCUUCCUGCAGUUCAGUGCUAUGAAGAUGGCCCACUCGCCCCCAGGCCACCACUCUGUCACCGGCCGACCCAGCGUCAAUGGUCUGGCGCUGGCCGAGUACGUCAUAUACCGAGGGGAGCAGGCUUAUCCAGAGUAUCUGAUCACGUAUCAGAUCAUAAAGCCCGAGGGGACAGCUGAUGGAUAAGGGGCCUGGAAUGUCCCGGAAUUUUCGCUGAUAACCUUGAGGAUGCAAAUCUGUCCCCGCCACUGCCCUACCUGAUACCUGAAAUAUACAGGAAAUGAAAUGGAAAACGAGGGACCUCCCACCCCAGGCGCAGACGGUCUCGCGGACGAGUGUGUACGUCAAGUGGACACCGAGAGCGUAACGAAAGAGUGGAGCUCCUAGAGCACCUGUUUCCAUCAUAACCAAAGCCAACCUUUCAUCAACCACAGAUGUGAGGGAGGUGCAUUGGAUAGAGUGUUGGUCAGAGCUGGGUUCAAAUCCCACUCCUCCUGCAGCACCCACGAGAAAUGUACUUAGCCUGAACUGAUAGAGUAAAAAUGACCCAGCUGAACCAAUGGGUAAGUAAUCGUAAGCAGCUUACGUAAAAUAAACCAGCGUAUAGCCAACUCCGUAAGUCAUCAGCUAAAGAAAUAAGCCGGAAAAGCCCGCUGUACACGUCCAUCUGCAUCACGGUCCUUGUCCCAGCUUUGUUUGUCUAGGACCAAGGUUAAAUUCCCCCUUUUUGUGAGUCUAAAGAAAAAACCUCAAUGCAUUUUUGUCAGCACAGCACAAAGCGAGCCUUCAGAUUGCUAGAAAGGCAUCGUGUUUUUAUCUUUUACUAUGACAUUGUACACAC